AGAGUUUGAUCAUGGCUCAGAGCGAACGCUGGCGGCGUGCUUAACACAUGCAAGUCGCGUGCGCAGUUGCCGUAGCAAUACGGUGAUGGGCGCACGGCGCACGGGUGCGUAACACGUGGGCAAUCUGCCCUUUGAUGGGGAAUAACCCGCCGAAAGGCGGGCUAAUUCCGCAUAAGAUUCUUUGGACCUCGGUCUGAAGAUUGAAAGCAGCAAUGCGUCGAAGGAGGAGCCCGCGCCCGAUUAGCUAGUUGGUGAGGUAAUGGCUCACCAAGGCAAUGAUCGGUAGCUGGUCUGAGAGGAUGAUCAGCCACACUGGAACUGAGACACGGUCCAGACUCCUACGGGAGGCAGCAGUGGGGAAUCUUGCACAAUGGGCGAAAGCCUGAUGCAGCGACGCCGCGUGGGGGAUGAAGCAUUUCGGUGUGUAAACCCCUUUCGACUGGGAAGAAUGCCUCGCAAGAGGAGUGACGGUACCAGUAGAAGAAGCCCCGGCUAACUACGUGCCAGCAGCCGCGGUAAGACGUAGGGGGCCAGCGUUGUUCGGAAUUACUGGGUGUAAAGGGUUCGUAGGCGGUGCGGCAAGUUGGGAGUGAAAUCUCUGGGCUUAACCCAGAGGCUGCUUCCAAAACUGCUGUGCUCGAGUGUGAGAGAGGCUCGUGGAAUUGCAGGUGUAGCGGUGAAAUGCGUAGAUAUCUGCAGGAACACCCGUGGCGAAAGCGGCGAGCUGGAUCACUACUGACGCUGAGGAACGAAAGCUAGGGGAGCAAACAGGAUUAGAUACCCUAGUAGUCC
rnacentral:rRNA from 1 species